GCCUGGAUAGCCCAGUUGGUAUAGCAUCAGAUUUUUAAUCCGAGGGGCCAGGGAUCAAGUCCCUGUUUGGGCG